UACGUAGGUGGCGAGCGUUGUCCGGAUUUACUGGGCGUAAAGGGCGCGUAGGCGGGAUGGCAAGUCGGUCGUGAAAUCCCUCGGCUCAACCGAGGAACGUCGAUCGAUACUGCUGUUCUUGAGGAUUGCAGAGGAGACUGGAAUUCCCGGUGUAGCGGUGAAAUGUGUAGAGAUCGGGAGGAACACCGGUGGCGAAGGCGGGUCUCUGGGCAAUUCCUGACGCUGAGGCGCGAAAGCGUGGGGAGCAAACGGG
rnacentral:rRNA from 1 species